rnacentral:rRNA from 1 species
GGUCAAGCGAAUAAGUGCAUGUGGUGGAUGCCUUGGCGAUCACAGGCGAUGAAGGACGCGGUAGCCUGCGAAAAGCUACGGGGCUGGCAAACAAGCAUUGAUCCGUAGAUGUCCGAAUGGGGAAACCCACUCCUUCUGGAGUAUCCAUAGCUGAAUACAUAGGCUAUGUGAAGCGAACGCGGUGAACUGAAACAUCUAAGUAACCGCAGGAAAAGAAAUCAACCGAGAUUCCCAAAGUAGUGGCGAGCGAAAUGGGAUCAGCCUGUACUCUUUAUUUUUGUUGUUAGUCGAACGCUCUGGAAAGUGCGGCCAUAGCAGGUGAUAGCCCUGUAGACGAAAACAGCGAGAAAGAACUAAGUGUACGAAAAGUAGGGCGGGACACGUGAAAUCCUGUCUGAAGAUGGGGGGACCAUCCUCCAAGGCUAAAUACUCGUGAUCGACCGAUAGUGAACCAGUACCGUGAGGGAAAGGCGAAAAGAACCCCGGGAGGGGAGUGAAAUAGAUCCUGAAACCGCAUGCAUACAAACAGUCGGAGCCUGGAAACGGGUGACGGCGUACCUUUUGUAUAAUGGGUCAGCGACUUACGUUCAGUAGCAAGCAACCGUAUAGGGCAGGCGUAGCGAAAGCGAGUCCGAAUAGGGCGUUCAGUUGCUGGGCGUAGACCCGAAACCAAGUGAUCUAUCCAUGGCCAGGAUGAAGGUGCGGUAACACGUACUGGAGGUCCGAACCCACUAACGUUGAAAAGUUAGGGAUGAAACUGGAUAGGGUGAAAGGCUAAACAAACUUGGAAAUAGCUGGUUCUCUCCGAAAACUAUUUAGGUAGUGCCUCGUGUCUCACCUUCGGGGUAGAGCACUGUCAUGGUUGGGGUCUAUUGCAGAUUACCCCGCCAUAGCAAACUCCGAAUACCGAAGAGUGCAAUCACGGGAGACAGACAUCGGGUGCUAACGUCCGGUGUCAAGAGGGAAACAACCCAGACCGCCAGCUAAGGUCCCCAAAUAUAGCUAAGUGGGAAACGAAGUGGGAAGGCUAAAACAGUCAGGAGGUUGGCUUAGAAGCAGCCACCCUUUAAAGAAAGCGUAAUAGCUCACUGAUCGAGUCGUCCUGCGCGGAAGAUGUAACGGGGCUAAGCUAUAUACCGAAGCUGCGGAUGCACACUAGUUGUGCAUGGUAGGAGAGCGUUCCGUAAGCCUGCGAAGGUGCGUUGAAAAGCGUGCUGGAGGUAUCGGAAGUGCGAAUGCUGACAUGAGUAGCGAUAAAGGGGGUGAAAGGCCCCCUCGCCGUAAGCCCAAGGUUUCCUACGCAACGUUCAUCGGCGUAGGGUGAGUCGGCCCCUAAGGCGAGGCAGAAAUGCGUAGCUGAUGGGAAGCAGGUCAAUAUUCCUGCACCAUUGUUAAAUGCGAUGGGGGGACGGAUCGCGGAAGGUUGUCCGGGUGUUGGAAGUCCCGGUCGCUGCAUUGGAGAAGGCACUUAGGCAAAUCCGGGUGCAGAAUUCAAGGGUGUGGCGCGAGCUUCUUAGGAAGCGAAGCAAUUGGAAGUGGUUCCAAGAAAAGCCUCUAAGCUUCAGUUUAACAAUGACCGUACCGCAAACCGACACAGGUGGGCGAGAUGAGUAUUCUAAGGCGCUUGAGAGAACUCGGGAGAAGGAACUCGGCAAAUUGGUACCGUAACUUCGGGAUAAGGUACGCCCUUGUAGCUUGAUGCCCUGCGGCAAAGGGUGAAGGGGUUGCAAUAAACUGGUGGCUGCGACUGUUUAAUAAAAACACAGCACUCUGCAAACACGAAAGUGGACGUAUAGGGUGUGACGCCUGCCCGGUGCCGGAAGAUUAAAUGAUGGGGUGCAAGCUCUUGAUUGAAGUCCCGGUAAACGGCGGCCGUAACUAUAACGGUCCUAAGGUAGCGAAAUUCCUUGUCGGGUAAGUUCCGACCUGCACGAAUGGCGUAACGAUGGCCACACUGUCUCCUCCCGAGACUCAGCGAAGUUGAAGUGUUUGUGAUGAUGCAAUCUACCCGCGGCUAGACGGAAAGACCCCAUGAACCUUUACUGUAGCUUUGCAUUGGACUUUGAACCGAUCUGUGUAGGAUAGGUGGGAGGCUAUGAAACCGGAACGCUAGUUUCGGUGGAGCCGUCCUGAAAUACCACCCUGGUUUGUUUGAGGUUCUAACCUUGGUCCGUGAUCCGGAUCGGGGACAGUGCAUGGUAGGCAGUUUGACUGGGGCGGUCUCCUCCCAAAGCGUAACGGAGGAGUACGAAGGUACGCUAGGUACGGUCGGAAAUCGUGCUGAUAGUGCAAUGGCAUAAGCGUGCUUAACUGCGAGACCGACAAGUCGAGCAGGUGCGAAAGCAGGUCAUAGUGAUCCGGUGGUUCUGUAUGGAAGGGCCAUCGCUCAACGGAUAAAAGGUACUCUGGGGAUAACAGGCUGAUACCGCCCAAGAGUUCAUAUCGACGGCGGUGUUUGGCACCUCGAUGUCGGCUCAUCUCAUCCUGGGGCUGUAGCCGGUCCCAAGGGUAUGGCUGUUCGCCAUUUAAAGAGGUACGUGAGCUGCUGGGUUUAAAACGUCGUGAGACAGUUUGGUCCCUAUCUGCCGUGGGCGUUGGAUAUUUGAAGGGGGCUGCUCCUAGUACGAGAGGACCGGAGUGGACGAACCUCUGGUGUACCGGUUGUCACGCCAGUGGCAUCGCCGGGUAGCUAUGUUCGGAAGAGAUAACCGCUGAAAGCAUCUAAGCGGGAAACUCGCCUUGAGAUGAGAUAUCCCUGGAGGCUUGACCUCCUUGAAGGGUCGUUCGAGACCAGGACGUUGAUAGGUCAGGUGUGUAAGCGCAGUAAUGCGUUCAGCUAACUGAUACUAAUUGCCCGUAAGGCUUGAUCCU